AUGAAAGCCAUGCUUCUGGUAGCAGGGAUGUGCAUCCCGAAUCUUUUCGGUGAUCCAGAUCAUUUGGCUGCAUUCAGCUAAAAUAGCCAUUAAAUUAUUUAUUACUCUUCGUUCAGUCGCGCUUAAUUUUUUUAAACCUACGACUAUGAAACAAUUGCAAAUCUCUCAUGUAAAGCCUAACAAGUUGCCUGCCAUGAUAUCAUAUCCUGACACGUGUGUUCACAUACAUUUUAACGGACCAAAUUAUUAGAUGGCACUGCAAAGAUGUGUGGACCAGAAUGAGGCUCUCUCCUCACUACCCAUUGUUCCUGCAGUGAAGAAUGACCAUCUUCAGAGAAUGUUUUUAUCUGCAGAUAGCUGUCUGGAGCUCAACAAGUAGUAGUAACAGUAUCAAAAUCAAUGAGCCAAAUGAACGGCUCUUUCACAAGUGAUUCGGUUCCGACCUUCCCCGAAAAUAUCCGUUCAAAAAGAGCCAUUUGUUCGCGAAACGACCCAUCACUAUCUUGUAGCCUACAGAUACAUAACCAGUACAAUUGGAUUUGCUCAACUCCUGCGCAAUUUCUCUGUCCUUUUGAAAAGGGUACAAGUUAAAACAGGAUAGGCUGCGAGGAAAGGGAACGUGGAUGAAAMUGCGCUYGUAUGAGGGCCCGUUGUACACUAGUGGACGGGUCCGUUGACACSGYGUUGGCAGCGGUGGAAAAGWACAGAAUUUCCCAAAUUUAUGCAAAUCACAAGCGGCAAACGCUGGCCAAUGACCAAUCAUGUCGAGUGAUUGCURUUAUGAAUAUUACGCUCUGAGACCCAACGCUGGAGAGUUUCUCCAGAAAAGAUGGCUGACAAAAAUACUAGGAUUGAACCAAAUGGACUCUUGAGAAAACCAUCAAACCAGGCUGUCGUCUUGUGAAACAGUGGAUGUAAAGAAUCUAGCUAGCUAAAGCAGUUACUGCAAAAUUGAAUGGACAAUUGUGUAAGUUUGCCUUGCUGAUAUUUUCCAUGCAGUUGAAGUUAUGUAGUUAGUUAACUCCUUUCUUGCUUUUUGUGUAGUGGAGGAUAUCAUUGUAUGGCUAUGGAUGUGUAGCUAGCUAUGUAGCCUAUCUGUGUAUGGAACCUAAAAUGUUUGGUAUAAAUAUUAGUUCAGAACAGUGUUAAUUGCUUCCACCAGUUAAUCAUUAAUCCCCAAUAAAUAUGCACAUGAUUGUUACAUGUCAAUAUUAGCUAGCUAGCUAGCUAUGAACCUCAGAUAUCAUAGCUGGUUGUAUUGACUUCAAGACACUCUGAAAAGCAUCAAUGAAGCCUAUUGAUUGAGUAAAAUGUAAUAACUUUGUGCCAAGGAUGCAAGUUGUACUGUAAAUACAUGUAGUUAUUACCAAGCAUGAGUUUCUGACAUAGUAGCCUGUACAUUGAAUAUAUUCACUGAUCAUGUACUCUACCUUGGCAAAUAAAGGUACGGUUCAGGUA